rnacentral:rRNA from 1 species
GGGGGGGGGGGGGGGGGGGGCGGGGGGAGGGGGGGGGGGCGGGGGGGGGAGGAGCGUGCUUUUCUUAGCUUAGUGGCGAACGGGGGAGUAACGCGGGGGUAACCUGGCCUGGAGUGGGGGACAACAGUUGGAAACGACUGCUAAUACCGCAUAAGCCCACGAUCCGGCAUCGGAUUGAGGGAAAAGGAUUUAUUCGCUUCAGGAUGGACUCGCGUCCAAUUAGCUAGUUGGUGAGGUAACGGCCCACCAAGGCGACGAUUGGUAGCCGGACUGAGAGGUUGAACGGCCACAUUGGGACUGAGACACGGCCCAGACUCCUACGGGAGGCAGCAGUGGGGGAUAUUGCACAAUGGGGGAAACCCUGAUGCAGCGACGCCGCGUGGAGGAAGAAGGUUUUCGGAUUGUAAACUCCUGUCGUUAGGGACGAUAAUGACGGUACCUAACAAGAAAGCACCGGCUAACUACGUG